UAAACAGGGAACAGUAACUGGAUCCUACUGCCUUACCUCUGCCACUCUUCAGAACUAGGAAAAACAAGAAAAAAUACAAGAUUUUCCCCCCACAGUUUAUGCACCUUACUUGAAGUAAAUCAUUUUCAAAAAGAGGAAAUUGAGGAAAAACUUUUCAAGAUCAUAGCUACAAAGUGGGAGAGCCAGAAUUUAAAUCCAGACCUCUCCGGUCUCUGAGACCAUACGCUUGCCUGAAGUCUGAAACUGGUAAAUGUCCACAGCUCUGCAUGAGAUGAACGUCCAGACAUUCAUAGGUGGAGAGAGCAGACCCAGCCCAACAGAAUACAACAGAAGGCUGACUGUAAAAACUAACAAAUGGUUGAAAUAUGAAGACAGAUGAGAAUGCAACCAGAGAUGUUCUCAUAGAGUAGGGAAAAUUCAAACCAGGUCUUGAAGGAUUUCUCCAGGUAAAAAAGGCGUGUCAGACAAAGGAAAAUAGCAAAGGUGGAAAGACCCAAAUGUGGAUAGAGCAUCUGGAAAACCAAAAGCGCUCCUGUAGGCUAGAGCUCAAGCUUGUGGAAAGAAGAGCUCCGGGCAGUCCAUACAGGAAGUUUCUGGCAGCAGGGUCCACUGAAGACUCUGCCAAAUGGUUUGGAUCACACUGAGCUGGCCUCUCAUCCCACCUCCACUACUUGUGAAGCUGAGACCUUUCUCAAUAGAGCCACCAAUCUGAAUCUCAGGGAAAUAUACAACAACAGUAUAUUUAAAGAACUUAAAGGAGAUGAAACAAAUAGAACAUUAUUCUAGCCUCUAUGCAUAGUAGGUACACAGAAGAACAUUACUUUUCUCAUUACAAAAUUAAAUAUGUUUACUGGAGUAAAUUGGAAAAAUAAAAAAGUAAAUGGAAAAAUAUUACUGACACCUAUACUCUCUCUACCCAGAGACGGUCAUUGUUAAUGUCCUAAUGUGUAUCCUUCCAGUCUUUUCUUAGUGUGUGAUUAGUCUAUGAUCAUACAAAAAUAAAAUAUGAUAAACAUUUCCAUUAUCCUCAAACAUUUUAAUAGUCCUAUAAUUUUCUGUUUUUAGUGCAUAUUUAACCUAAUAAUAUAAUAAUUACCAUCAUUUUGAGAGCUUUGAUUCUUCUGAGCUGUGGAUAUUCAUGGCUUACAUAUUUUUCUUGGCUUACAUAUAUUUAUAUAUUUACCAAGGUAAUGCAUGUUAUAUAUUUUUAAAAGUUAUACUUUUCACCAUGCUUGUAAAGGAAAACAUCAAUGCUUGACCCAUCUUUCCUUCUUUCUGAUUCUUACUUCCCAGAGGCAACCACUUUCAACUGCUUUAGCUGUUUUCUUUGAUAGUUAUGUCCAUAUU